CACAGGUCUGGUCCUGGCCUUACUAUUAGCUAACAGCAAAAUUACACAUGCAAGUAUCAGCACCCCAGUGAGAAUGCCCUCUAGACCUCUGCUAGAUCAAAAGGAGCGAGCAUCAAGAACACUAACCAUAAUAGUAGCUCACGACGCUUUGCUAAGCCACACCCCCACGGGAUACAGCAGUGAUAAAAAUUAAGCAAUGAGCGAAAGCUCGACUAAGUUAUGCUGUAAUAUUAGAGUUGGUAAAUCUCGUGCCAGCAACCGCGGUCAUACGAUUAACCCAAGUUAAUAGUCCCCGGCGUAAAGAGUGUUUAAGGUACCACUACAAAUAAAGUUAAAUUUUUACUGCGCCGUAAAAAGUCCCAGCAAAAAACAAAAAUACCCCACGAAAGUGACUUUAACACACCCGAAUACACGAUAGCCAGGACCCAAACUGGGAUUAGAUACCCCACUAUGCCUGGCCCUAAACCAAGACAGUUCACAACAAAACUGUUCGCCAGAGUACUACUAGCAACAGCUUAAAACUCAAAGGACUUGGCGGUGCUUUACAUCCACCUAGAGGAGCCUGUUCUAUAAUCGAUAAACCCCGCUACACCUCACCACCCCUAGCUAAUACAGCCUAUAUACCGCCAUCUUCAGCAAACCCUAACAAGGAACCAAAGUGAGCACAAUAAUCACACACAAAAACGUUAGGUCAAGGUGUAGCCCAUGGGGUGGAAAGAAAUGGGCUACAUUUUCUAUAAACUAGAACAUCCACGAAAACCUUAAUGAAACACCCUUAAGCAUGAGGAGGAUUUAGCAGUAAGCUAAGAACAGAGAGCUUAGCUGAACUAGGCCAUAAAGCGCGCACACACCGCCCGUCACCCUCUUCAACCAUCCAUCAACCAACGGAUACAUAACACCAACCCGAUCACGAUAUGAGAAGAGACAAGUCGUAACAAGGUAAGCAUACUGGAAAGUGUGCUUGGACAAC
rnacentral:ncRNA from 1 species